AAAGGGAGACCUAAUUCGGGUAUAAGACGAAAAAAUAGUAGUCGAAACCAAGAAUCAAUCCCAAAAGGUCGGAACGAGGAAUGUGGCUUUCAAACUAGGUUCUGGGUUCAUAAAAGACCUGAAUCAGGAACAAGGGCUAUUAGCUCAGGUGGUUAGAGCGCACCCCUGAUAAGGGUGAGGUCCCUGGUUCGAGUCCAGGAUGGCCCACCUGCACAGGUGGCAAAAACAAAGAAAAGAAGCGAGGAAUCAGCACCUUAUCUUACCUAUAUAGUAAGAGAGAAUGCUGGCUCUGAGUACAGAGUCCAGAGGAACCUUGAAAACUGCAUAGAGCUAGGUGAAAAAGCCAAAAAAGAAGACCGCAAG
rnacentral:tRNA from 1 species